rnacentral:rRNA from 1 species
GAUGAACGCUAGCGGCAGGCUUAAUACAUGCAAGUCGUGGGGCAGCAGGACUGUAGCAAUACAGUUGCUGGCGACCGGCAAACGGGUGCGGAACACGUACGCAACUUACCCUGAACUGGGGGAUAGCCCGGGGAAACCCGGAUUAAUACCCCGUAAUAUAAUGGAGUGGCAUCACUUUAUUAUUAAAGCUCCGGCGGUUCGGGAUGGGCGUGCGGCUGAUUAGGUAGUUGGUUGAGGUAACGGCUCACCAAGCCUACGAUCAGUAACUGUGUGAGGGCACGACCAGUGACAGGGGGACUGGGAAAAGGGGCCGAGUCCUACGGGAGGGAGCAGUAAGGGAUAUUGGGGAAUGGAAGCAACUCUGACCCAGCCAUGCCGCGUGGAGGAUGAAGGCCCUCUGGGUUGUAAACUUCUUUUAUAGGGGACGAAACCUGUGUAUUCUUACGCAGUUGACGGUACCCUAGGAAUAAGCACCGGCUAACUCCGUG